AGGGGGAGUGCCCCUUGCAUGGGUACUUGCAUAUAAAACCAGCUGUGGCUCCCAUUAAACUCAGUUCCUGCUUACCCUCAACAAAGAGCCUUGUCUCAUGCUUGAGGGAACCGCUAUACCUGCUAUAAUCCCUGCUGCUGGGAUUGUUCUUUGGAUUGCUAUGAUCACCAGCUCUUGUAAGAGCUACACUGCUAUACUCUGUUGGAGGAGAGGCC